AGAGUUUGAUCCUGGCUCAGAACGAACGCUGGCGGCAUGCCUAAUACAUGCAAGUCGAACGAGAUCUUCGGAUCUAGUGGCGCACGGGUGCGUAACGCGUGGAAGUCUGCCCUUGGGUUCGGAAUAACUUCUGGAAACGGAAGCUAAUACCGGAUGAUGACGUAAGUCCAAAGAUUUAUCGCCCAAGGAUGAGCCCGCGUAGGAUUAGCUAGUUGGUGAGGUAAAGGCUCACCAAGGCGACGAUCCUUAGCUGGUCUGAGAGGAUGAUCAGCCACACUGGGACUGAGACACGGCCCAGACUCCUACGGGAGGCAGCAGUAGGGAAUAUUGGACAAUGGGCGAAAGCCUGAUCCAGCAAUGCCGCGUGAGUGAUGAAGGCCUUAGGGUUGUAAAGCUCUUUUACCCGGGAUGAUAAUGACAGUACCGGGAGAAUAAGCUCUGGCUAACUCCGUG
rnacentral:rRNA from 1 species